CGCUGGGUAGAGCAGUUGGCAGCUCGUCGGGCUCAUAACCCGGAGGCCGUUGGUUCAAGUCCAACCCCAGCUA
rfam:Treponema succinifaciens DSM 2489, complete genome.